GAAAUACGAAUAAAAAAACUAUAAAUGAGAAAAUUUAGGAUAGGUUUUUCCCAAAAAAAUAUAAUAAUCAAGACCAGUUUUUUUUUUUAAUUUUUUUUGGGGGGGAGUAAGAACAGUUGAAGAUAUAAAUUUACGUGGUAGAAGUGGAUUAGUUAUUAUACGGUAUUUUUUUAUUUUUUAUAUUUGAAAGAAUAUUAUAGAGUAGUUAUGAUAAGUAUUUUUUUUGAUAAAAAUAAUUUUUAAUUUUUAAUUGAAAAUUAAAGUGGUGAUAUUGCAAAUUGAGAAGGACGACAUUUUAGGAAAAAGUAAAUUUAUCACACCAGAAGCCCUUUCUCUUUAUAUAUAUGUAUUUAGGACCGAGUUAUAAUGAGAACCAAUCCUAUUAUAGGAACUAGGAACUAAUUAGGCCGUUAGAUUUUCCUUGGAUGCGCGCUAGAUGAGCGGCUGAGAUUAAUCUAAACUUAUUAGGCACAUUCACUCGUUUCACUCUCCUCAAGCAUUUUCUCUCUCCUCCAUAGCAACGAGUGCCUCUGAAUUCUCCAUUGAAGCGGCUUUCUAGCUUUCUCUACUCCAAUGAAGCAGCUUCUGAGGAAAAGAUGUUGAUCAAACCUAACUACUUUUACAAUUUGAUGAACUUGCUGCAAUUUUAUCAACUUCAGAGGAGACUUUGAAGUAAGCGAUUUCUACUAGUUGUGGCAAUUUUAAUAACGUACUCAAUUGGGGGCAAGUAGAGAUACACUUUUCAGUUGCAAGGACAGAACCAGAUGCAAUUUUCUGAACAAUCAGCGAGUCAUCAAUAUCAAGGCAGGCAGCUGCCCACUGGACAUAUUGGACAAACCCAACUGAACCAAGGAACCCAGCUCAACCAUCAUAUUGGCCAAUUUCCUGGAGCUGCUAAUACAACUUUGUUCAAUGCUGCUCAGAAUUCACCUAAUGCUCUUGUGGUAGAACAUGCACCUCAACUUUUACUUAAUCUAUGAUUACAUUCUACUUUUUCAGUUAUAUGUCCUUAAAACAAUUUGCUGCUGUCUUUUUUGCAUGUUUGCAUUAGACAUACGUGCUGAGUGUAAUGUCUCUUUUUGACAAAUUGACAACCAUUGGUCUUUUUCUCCUUCCCAUUUAGAUGUCCAUUCCGAUUAGUAUGUGUAUAAGAAAUGGACUAGACUUAAGGAUGACAUGAGAAUUAUCGAUGUAUAGAUGCAAACUGAAUAAUCGAAUGUGUUAUCUUGUAUUGACCCUUGCAUUAUUAGUGAACACUCAAGCACAAUGGGAUGGAGGUGGGAUCGGGGGCUGAAUUAUGGGAUAUCCAUGCAAUAUUUGUAAUCAAUGUUUUAAUCUCUUGGGUAAAAAAUUUUUAAUGCUGGAAAUUAAAAUUACUAUUAUGGAUCAUGUAAGAAAGAAGAAUUUGGUGUACUGUAAGUCAGCUUUUACUUUUUAUCACGGUUGCAAGAAUGUUAUUUUCACUUGUCUAACUGUCAAGCAAAUUUAUUAUAAGAUAAACCUAAGGUUCAUUGCUUGCUUAUAUACUGUGCUAAAAUUAAACUAUGAUGUCUCCAAUUACAUUAUCAAUUUCAAAAGUUGAUAGAAACCAAAUAAAAGUAAACUAGUUAUAUUCUAAAGUAAACCGAUAUGCAUAUUUGGGUGGCCCUACAUUUUUUGUAGAGGAUAUCAGGUCUUGUGAUUAAUUUACCUGAAUUUUGUUUGGAACAAAUUUAUUUAUAAAGAGGAAUUUCCAAUGAAAAAAAAAACUUGAAAAGGUACCACAUAGGACUACAUUGGUGAAAUGAAAAUUGAGCACAACUGAAUUGCACUAUUUUGGGACAAACCUAACUAGGAUGUGUUCUUUUUGCCUCCAACUUAUCAAUCUUUGUUAUGUUACUAUGCUUAUCAAUCUUUGUUCUGGAACAUUGUCUCUCUAGACUGGCAGACAAGAGCUUUGGUUUUGUACCCGUUUUGUAUGAUUAUGCUGCUCAAUCUUUUUUAAAGCUACAUUUUGUCUGGAUAUAGAGCUAUGGUUUUAUACCCCAGUCUACAUUAUUGAUAUAUGGCUACUAUGAAGAAAGGCAGCACCAGCUGAAUCUGAAGACUAGUGUCAUCAGCAGUGCAUGCAACCCAGGGUUUGAUUUAUUUCCUGCUGAAGCAUUUGAGUUAUUUCUCAUCAGAUUUUCUUGUGGCGAAGAUAAUAUCAUUUUAUUAAUUUGGUGGUCAAUUUCUCACGAGGUUGUGGCAAUCAAGUUUUCUUGCAUAUUAGUUCUGAUCUCAGGUACCUUUUUUUUUUCUUUUGGUAAUUUUGUGUUUUUAAUCAUCUACUUUUUCAACAAUUUUUCAUACAAAGCUCAAAUUUAUCAACAUUGAUCUCAUUGAGAAAUAAACCAAGUGUCUCUAAAAGUAAAUACAAAAGAAUAUAAAGUUAGUAAAACAAGCUAUAAAGUAAAUCUAUUGGCUCAAAUGGUAGAGCACUAUGCGGAUGCAUAAAGGUGUAGGUUCAAUUCCUACAUAGGUUAUCUCUAAAAGUAAAUAUAAAAUACUCUAAAGUUAUGCAAAAUACCUCAAAAGUAAAUUAAAAUAACCAAAAAGUAAAACAACUUAGCUUUAAGAUAUACAGAAAAUUAGUUAGCUUUGCAGGUAUUUUGUCAUCAUUAAACCUGAAAACUUAAAAAAAUCACAGUAUCAAGCUUCAGCUCUAUUAUUUCUACCUCCAACUUAAAGUAAACAUGAAACACUUUAAAGUUAUUUAAAAUGUCACAAAAGUAAAUAAAACAUAACUAUAAAGUUAUUUCAAGUUACACAUGACGUUUGACUUCUAUUCUCCAGAGUGCAUCGCAGCAGCUAUCAUCAAGUAUUGAAAGAUCAGACAUGGCAAUAUAAAAUCAGGUACUGCCCUGAUUGAGAUUCAAGAUGGCUCUUUCGCUUUGAUUAUUUGAUUAGAGAAAACAAUCAAGCUAAGUCAGGGAUUAAACAAUUAACAUGCAAUACUUGCUCAACUUAUUUAAUUAAAUGCCUAACUAAACUCUAAAACAAAGUCUAGUCUCCAUAUUAGACAAAUGAACCUAAUUUUGCACAAGGGUAGAGCACUAUGCAUCAUAUGUCAAAAGUAGAUAAAAAUAAUAAUAAAAAGUAAAUCAAAAUAUUCUAAAAGUAAAUAAAAAAAGCUCAAAUGUAGAGUAAAUAAUAAAAAAUUAUUUAAUAAAUAAAAUCAGGUACUGCCCUGAUUGAGAUUCAAGAUGGCUCUUUCGCUUUGAUUAUUUGAUUAGAGAAAACAAUCAAGCUAAGUCAGGGAUUAAACAAUUAACAUGCAAUACUUGCUCAACUUAUUUAAUUAAAUGCCUAACUAAACUCUAAAACAAAGUCUAGUCUCCAUAUUAGACAAAUGAACCUAAUUUUGCACAAGGGUAGAGCACUAUGCAUCAUAUGUCAAAAGUAGAUAAAAAUAAUAAUAAAAAGUAAAUCAAAAUAUUCUAAAAGUAAAUAAAAAAAGCUCAAAUGUAGAGUAAAUAAUAAAAAAUUAUUUAAUAAAUAACCUACGUGGGACUCGAACCCGCAUCUUUUGUGCAAUUGCACAAUGCUCUACCGAUUGAGCUAGUAGGCUAUCAUUAUUAAUUUCUUCAUAUAUAUAUCAAAGUAACUAAAACAAUAGAAAAGUAAAUAAAAAAUCCUCAAAAGUUAAUAUUCUAAAGGUAGCAUUUGUUUUCUUAGUUUAGGAGAUUCCUAUCCAUAUGUGUUGUUGCAAAAGGAGAACAAUAAUAUAAGUGCAAAUGCAUUUUUGCAAGCCUUCUCUUAAAACACAAAUGUAGACAUGCUCCAAGUACAACUAAGCAUGUCAUUACCUUCGGCUUUGAAAUAAACCAGUUUGAUGUAGGUGGUGACUAUUGAGGAGAUCCUUCAGCAUUAACAAUAAAAUGAUUAGUAAUAAUUUGGAUGGAGCCUAUUUACAACUUGUGCCAAAUGAGCAAUCCUAACAAUUUAAUUCAAGUUCAACAUAUGUCGUUGUGGUCUUUUUCUUUUUCUAAUUACAGAACAAGUAUAUUAGCUAUAUAUUGAUAAUAGAUAGAGUUAAAUUAGUUAAAAUUCCAAGAGAUAAUACUCAAAUCAAGUAACGCAUCCCCCUUCCGUUAUAGGGAGUUGAAUAUACUGUCCUCCAUAGUUGAAAAUCACCGCAAAUAAAAUAUAGUAAAUUAAUUAUAUAAUAGGAAUAAAGUAUGACAACAAGAGCAUACAAUUUUGCAGUCUAUUAGGCAUAUAUAGCUACAAUAGAAGUAUGAAGGUCGUCCUACUCAUAAUGCUUUAAAACAAUGUUAAGAACGUAAAAGCUAACACAAUCAACUUUCUCCGAGAUAUUAAUCAUAGUCAAGCAUGCAAGCUAUACUAUCAUUCAUUUCAUACAAGUAGAGAUUAAUGUAACAGCAAAAUAUAAGACAUUUCCCUACUUCAAUACAUUGAACAAGAUACUAUUGCCUCGCAAAUCGCAAUUGCAAACUCCCAAGGCAUAAAACUGAAACAAAAACUCAUAAAAGUGAAUAAGAUUUUAUAAAAAGUAAUUAUCCAAAAGUAAAUAAUUAUCCAACCACCCAAAGUAUAUCCCUGAUGAUAAUUCAAUUCACCAUUGAAUUAUCCCCUGGAAAAAAAUUAGAAAUGCAUUGCACUUUUCAAAAACUAAAAAAUUAUACAGUAUGUCAUUGCACAAAGUUUAGCAACAAAUCAUAAAAUUUCACCAAAACAGUAUGAAAUUAUUGAUCUAAUUAUAAAUUAAAGAGAAAAAUCACAAAAACCGAAACAAAAAAUAGUGAAAACCCUAGUUUUCGCAAUUUAAUUCACAUAAUAUUAAAAAAUAGAAUUAAAACAAAUUCAAAAAUGAUAAUCGAAAUCAAAUUAACUUGUUCAUAGAUAACCAACAACAAAGAUCGAAGAACAUAAUCAAUGAAUCAGAUAUGCGAUAAAAAGGAAAAAAAAUAGCAAAAAUCCUGAUUUCAAAUUAAAAACAAUCGAGAAUUAAAUAAGCAGUAACUAAUUAAAUAAAAAGAAAAAACAAAUACAAAAUCAGUAACUUACUUGUUCAAUAUAACAGGUGCAAAAAAUCGAAAAAAAAAAUUUAAGAAUUUGAUGCGAAGAACAGUGAAAAAUCGCACUAGGGAGAAUUUGAAGGAAGAGAGAGAAAGAGUGACGAAGAGAGAGAUAAGGAAAAAGGAAACUGAUGAUUUUUUGGAGUAGUCAUUCAAAGUACCGAUUUCCUAUUUUGCCCUUAAUGAGGCGGGUGAGAUCUCAACCGUUAGAUGAAGUGUAAUCAACUGUAGGGAUGAGUUCUUAGUUCCUAUUAUAGGACUUGGUUCUCACAUGAUCCUGAUUCUCUCUCUCU